rnacentral:lncRNA from 1 species
GUUAGCCAAGCCUAGACUUAGUCUCUCUUUCUCAAGUAGAGACUAAGUAAAUUAGCACUACAAGAAAAAGGCUUAUUAGAGACCAGUAUUUAGCGAGAAGUUUUAUAUAUGGUCUCUAAAAGUGUACUUAUAAGGAUGAGAUUUUUUUUGGUCUCUAAUACCCAAAUUGUUUUAAAUAUAUGACUAGACUUAUUCUGGUCUAUAUUUGUUUUAAUACCUGGUCUCUAAUACUUGGUUUUAGCGUGAUACUAGGCGGGGAAUCUGAAAGUAAAGUUAAAAAAACCCAAAAAAGUAUUUUCAGUGUAAAAUCCCUCCAAAAAUUCACUUUCACCCUAAAAUCUCUCCCAAAAAAUUACUUUCACGCUGCUAUCCCUAAUUAAGCGGCAACUUCAAUUGUGUUCAAAGUUCAGAAAGCAAACUUCGUCAUUAGUCUGAACUCAAAAGUUUCCAACAUUCAUCGCCUCAAACUCAGAAGGUUGGGGUCAAAGUUUCAUACUUUAGACAAACUCUGCCAUUGGAUGCCGAAUUAAGUGUAAGCUUAACUUGUUUCUCUUUAGUUGUUUCGUUUCCUUUUUCUUCUUCUUGUUUUUUUUUUUCGAUUGAACCAGAAAUUAAAAAUCGGUUAAACAAUUUCCUAAAUCUGUAGUUUUUUUAUACAACUGGGUUGUUUAGAAUAGUUAUAGUUAUUGUAUGAGUGAUAAAAGUGAGAAUAUUGGUUUAAAGACGGGGCUCGUAGGUCAAGGAGGAGAAAUUUGAGUUUUUCUUGUAGAGUUUCGUCUGUGCGAUGGUUUCUCCUUUGAGAUUUGCAUUACACAAUUCUCCUAGGGACUUUCUCGAAGGGUCAUGAGUUUGGCUCCCAGUUGGGUCACUGCUAGCAGCAGCCCUACCUUCAAAAAUUGUGUUAUCCCCUGACUCCAUAUAUAGUUAUGGACUUAUUUAAUAAAUAUAACCUAAAUUUAAAGAAAAAUAUGGAUACUUUAGUUGGAAUUUAACUUUUGGUCAAGGGAUGAUGUCUUUUAUAACUUUUGGUUCGAAUAAAGAUGAUAAUACAGGAAAUAACAAAAAUUUGCAAAAAAAUUACAUGUACACACACUAUGGUUUGUGUUGUAGCAGUAUUUUUGCAAGCUACUAUGGUCCAGCCUUCCACCAUAUUUUUCUUCUCGUUAUUGCCCAGUUUAUAGGCAUUCAAUCUAGAUAUAGGUACACCAAUUUUGAUAAGUCUUUCCACGCAAGGGCUGGAAAACUGUAUCAUUGUGAUGUUGUAGCUAUUCUGUUGCUUUUCGCGUCCUUUGAAGUGUUCAAUGACCUUCACACCUGCUGGUUUUUUCAUCACACGCUGCCCUGUUGCAAAUAAAUCAGCUGCUGCAUUAUGAUUUUGCCCAGUCUUUCAACUAUAUCAACUAGUGUAGUAAGAUGUAUAGCAACUCCAGUAGCAGCUAUUAGAGCUUUUUCCUUCCUCUCAAUCACACCCUUUCUAGGAAUGAAAUCUGGAGCAUCCAACUUGCUCGUUAGUUUUCCACAGGAAGAACUUUCAGUUUUUUGCAUUGGAUGUGCAUCUUUGAUAAGUCUUUCCACGCGAGGGCUGGAAAACUGUAUCAUUGUGUUGUUAUAGUUGUUCUGUUGCUUUUCGCAUCCUUUGAUAAGUUCAAUAUCCUUCACACCUGGUUUUUUCAUCAUAUGCUGCCCUGUUGCAAAUAAAUCUACUGUUGCAUUAUGCUUCUGCCCAGUGUUUUAGCUAUAGCAACUAGUGUAGUAGGAUGUAUAGCAACUCCAGUAGCAGCUAUUAGAGCUGUUUCCUUCCUCUCAAUCACACCCUUUCUUGGAAUGAAAUCUGGAGCAUCCAACUUGCUCAUUAGUUUUUCAGUGGAAGAACUUUCAGUUUUUGGCAUUGGAUGUGCAUCUUUGAUAAGUAUUUCCAUGCGAGGGCUGGAAAACUGUAUCAUUGUGCUGUUGUAGUUGUUCUGUUGCUUUUUGCGUCCUUUGAAAAGGUCAAUAUCCUUCACACCUGCUGGUUUUCUCAUCACAUGUUUCCCUGUUGCAAAUAUAUCUGCUGCUGCAUUAUGUUUCUGCCCAGUAUUUCAGCUGUAUCAACUAGUGUUGUAGGAUGUAUAGAAACUCCAGUAGCAGCAUUAGGAAAUGUUCAUUCAACUAGUAAACAGAGUAUCUAAUGUAUUUUCCUUAAACUGCUGGAGCUACGAAGGGCUUUUCCAUCUGGGACAACCUGGUCCUUUUUUUUUUACAUUUCUGGAAGCAGUAACUCUCUGCCAGAAAGGUAUUGGUAUAAAUAUGGAGGGUCAUCACAGCAAAUAUUUAUUAUGAAUUUAGACAACUUAAGUAUUUCAAAAUUACAUAAAAAUAUUGUAAAAUGACAAAGUUCAUUUUUUGUGUCUAUUAUGUAUGUAUAUAGAAAAAUCUUGGUUAAAGCAGAACAAUUAUUUAACUCAUCAAGUAGCCUUGUGUUAUGGAAUUCUCUAUAGAAUAGGGGGAUAAAGAAGUUGAGUUUCCUAAAACUAUCGUGUUUAGUUUUUUUCCACCCUAAAAGGUUGACGUUUCUUUUAGCUUUAGCGAAAAUCUGCUCCAUUCAAUAAUUCAUGUGCUGCUACGGAUAAAUUGCUUCUCUAUGCAAGUUUCUUGAUCUCGGAAUGACGGUUCCAGCUGAAUGUUUCUCCUUGUUUGAUAAGGUUAAUUCUUGCCACUAUUUGUGGUAUCUCAAUUUUGAUGCACGUCACUGCUAACUAUAUCCUGUUAGCAUGUCCUUAUGCCAAAUGUUUCUUUUUGCUUGAGCAUCAAUACUACUCCUUACUUGCACAGUUUCUCGAGUAUCAAUAUUACUCCUAAUUCCUUGAUUCACCAGUGCAAUCCCAUGUUGUUUAUUUCCAGUAGUAGCUCGAUUCAAAAUAGGAUUAUCACCAAUAGAACCAGCUGAAAUAUUCAGCACAGCACCACCAAUCUCAGUUAAUCUUUGAUGCACAAUGUUUUCAUUCUCCGCAAAGAUAUGUAUACUAGGAGCUGGUAGCCAAAAUCCAUAGCUAGUAGUUAUCUAUUUUCGAGGCACUUGGGAAAAAUACUUCGUGACCGUAAUAUAUCCCCGCUAGGGGUAUUAUCUGGGAUCACAUUAAGGAGGAAAAGUUAAAUCACACGUGGGCAGCUGUGAUGGUAACUAGAUGGAUUAUUUCAAUUUUUUCUUUGAUUCCUCUUUUCUUACCAUUCUUGGCACUUAAUUAUUGAGUUCUUAUCAACCAAUAUUUAUAGUCUUGCAUAUUUCAAUGAACUCCAGAAAGUACUUCAGCUGAGUAACUCUAGAAUCUUUUUGGAAAUACAUCGAGGAGUGACAUUGCCACUUAUAUACUUAACUAGAUAAUUUCUCAUUGGCACCAAAGUUUCUAAACUCCUUUGACUGUCCACUUAAAGUCAAAGACAUUCAUGAGUUAGUUUGAUAUCAAUAGAAUGUAUGAAUAAGUAGUAUGCAUGAUAAUGAAAAUCUUCUUUGAAGUCAUACCCCGAGAGAACCUAGAAUGCAUUUUUGGUUGUAAAUGUCCUCACUAGUGUAUGUUUCAGAGAUCAUUUGGAAGAAUAUCUUUUCUCGGCCCCAAUUGUCUGUUUUUACUCUUUCUUUUACUUUGAAUUCUUUUGAAUCUAGGUUUUGGUUGAGCUUCUAAGGACCUCUUAUCUAACAAUGAAUUUUACUUAAAAUUGUAAACUUCUCAUAAUAUCAGAAUUUAGCAGAAGAUCAAUGAAGUAACAAAAAGUGCUAAUUAAAAGAUGUUUACUGUGUAUAUUUUUUGUUUAUGAGUUGGCAUGUGUGAUCACAGUUCCAGCAAGAUAAAGACUUGUGAACCUAAGACAGGUUGUUAGGAUGACAAGAAAGUCGACCUAAACAUGACAUUCUUGGUUUCAUCAUAUUAGAGCUUAUCCUCAUAUGGAAAACAUUUCUCAUUUACCUACGGGAAAGGUUACCUGUUAUGUAAGGUUUCAAUAUGCAAGGGAAAAAGUGUGUUCAACUUGUUUGUUUGUGCCUUUGACACUACAAUAGAGUUUUUGAUUCUCGAGACAAUGCACAAAUUUCAAUCUUCUAAAGGCAAUAUAUAGAGAUUUUGACUACCGACGUGGUCUAUAAUUGUUGCAAAUCCCAUGCAUAGCUGGGUACAUAUAUCUAUUUCUAAUAAUACAAUUAGCAUUUUAAUAAUGCACCAUUUUCUACUUUUAUGUUAGUUUGUUUAACUUUAUAGAGGUGCAAAUCUACAUUGCCUAGCCAGAAGUCCAUAUCUUAGUGGAUCAAGAAUCUAUAAAGCACCAUGGCAUUAUGUGAAAAAAUUGAGAACUAAUUGUAUCCAGAAGGAAGUUCUCUUUGUUUCAAAUUAUCGAGUUUCAUAACUUGUUGUAAGGAACAUCCUAUAUGUCUCCUAUUAGUGCAUUAUGUAUCUAUUGCACAUCUGUUUCUAAAUAUCUGUCAAAGUCUUCUGAUUUGCCAAACUUUAAAACUCUGCAGCAAUUGGCUCUUUGCUUAUGCAUGUUUCUGUUGCCCCUCAACCAUAUCUAAGUUGAAAUAUAUAUGUACUUUUUAUAUCUUAUGCUUCGUUUCUUGAUUAAUCAGUCUUGCUAAAUUUUUUUACUCGAUGCAGGGAUUCUUUGUUAUAUUAUCAUGGAUGCCCAUUUACUUUAAAACUGUGAGUACAACCCCUGAUAGUCUUUAAUAUAUUUUUUGCUUCUUUUUUCUUUGUCUAGCCCUGAUUUUGUUCCAUCUACAUUGUUAUAGUUUUUCUAAAUAAAAUUUCUCAUUUCCUCUACAGGUUUUGGAUAUUGAAGCUCAAGAAACAGACUUUUCAUGACAUAUUGAUUGACCAUUUUUUUGCUGGGAAUGUCAACAAAAUUAAUUUUACAUGUGAGAGGGAUAUUAGUGUAUAUAAUGUUUUUCUAAAUGUUUAUGAACACAUUGCGACUAGCUUACAUUAUUGAUGUACGGUGCAAUAAACCGAUGUUGAUCAUUUUUGGUAAUAUUUUAUGACAACAUAUUCAUCUAUAUAAUAAUAUAUUCGAUUUUGGAUUUCGUA